UACAGAGGGUGCAAGCGUUGUUCGGAAUUAUUGGGCGUAAAGCGCGUGUAGGCGGCUUUGCAAGUCGGGGUGUGAAAGCCCUCAGCUCAACUGAGGAAGUGCGCCCGAAACUGCAGAGCUUGAGUGCCGGAGAGGGUGGCGGAAUUCCCCAAGUAGAGGUGAAAUUCGUAGAUAUGGGGAGGAACACCGGUGGCGAAGGCGGCCGACCUGGACG
rnacentral:rRNA from 1 species